rnacentral:rRNA from 1 species
AGUGAACGCUGGCGGUAGGCCUAACACAUGCAAGUCGAACGGCAGCACAGUAAGAGCUUGCUCUUACGGGUGGCGAGUGGCGGACGGGUGAGGAAUACAUCGGGAUCUACUUUUUCGUGGGGGAUAACGUAGGGAAACUUACGCUAAUACCGCAUACGACCUACGGGUGAAAGCAGGGGAUCUUCGGACCUUGCGCGAUUGAAUGAGCCGAUGUCGGAUUAGCUAGUUGGCGGGGUAAAGGCCCACCAAGGCGACGAUCCGUAGCUGGUCUGAGAGGAUGAUCAGCCACACUGGAACUGAGACACGGUCCAGACUCCUACGGGAGGCAGCAGUGGGGAAUAUUGGACAAUGGGCGCAAGCCUGAUCCAGCCAUACCGCGUGGGUGAAGAAGGCCUUCGGGUUGUAAAGCCCUUUUGUUGGGAAAGAAAAGCAGCAGGUUAAUACCCCGCUGUUCUGACGGUACCCAAGAAUAAGCACCGGCUAACUUCGUG